UACGGGGGGGGCAAGCGUUGUUCGGAAUUACUGGGCGUAAAGGGCUUGUAGGUGGCCAACUAAGUCAGACGUGAAAUCCCUCGGCUUAACCGGGGAACUGCGUCUGAUACUGGAUGGCUAGAGUGUGGGAGAGGGAUGCGGAAGUCCAGGUGUAGCGGUGAAAUGCGCAGAUAUCAGGAGGAACACCAAUUGCGAAGGCAGCUCGCUGGGACGUUACUGACGCUGAGACGCGAAAGCGUGGGGAGCAAACAGG
rnacentral:rRNA from 1 species